rnacentral:tRNA from 2 species
GCCCGGGUGGUCUAGUGGUAUGAUUCGCGCUUAGGGUUCACCCAAAGCAUGUCUGCGCGAGGUCCCCGGUUCGAUCCCGGGCUCGGGCC